GAAGGAUGGGUCAAAGUGAACUCCGAUGGAGCGACGGCUAAAGGGGGGAGGAAAGCUGGCAGCGGAGCUGUGAUUAGGGAUAACAUGGGUGCUUUCAGGGCAGGUAUGUGCCAUAAUUUCCCAAAUAUGGUUGACCCAGAAAUAGCAGAAGUGUUAGCAUGCCAGCGGGCACUUCAGAUGGCGAGAGACAUUGGUGUUCAAAGGGUACAUGUGGAGCUGGAUUCUCAAGGUAUGGUGCACAUGCUACAGCAGCGAACAAAGAACCUGUCAGCAGCAGGGCCGCUUGUGGAAGAGAUUAAGGGCUUGUUAAAUUUGUUCACUGAGUUUAGGGUGUCCUGGGUUAGUCGAUCGGCAAACGGUGUCACGCAUAAAUUUGCUAGAGUAAGUAUGGGUGAUGAAUUAUGUAAGGUGUGGGUGGGAGCUCCACCAGACUUUGUUCUUGAUGUCUUGUCGGAUGAGAUUCCAAACUUCACGAUUUGA
rnacentral:rRNA from 1 species